rnacentral:rRNA from 1 species
UACAGAGGUCCCAAGCGUUGUUCGGAUUCACUGGGCGUAAAGGGUGCGUAGGCGGUCGGGUAAGUCUGACGUGAAAUCUUCAAGCUUAACUUGGAAACUGCGUCGGAUACUAUUCGGCUAGAGGAAUGGAGGGGAGACUGGAAUACUUGGUGUAGCAGUGAAAUGCGUAGAUAUCAAGUGGAACACCAGUGGCGAAGGCGGGUCUCUGGGCCGAUACUGACGCUGAGGAGCGAAAGCGUGGGGAGCGAACAGG